rnacentral:lncRNA from 1 species
AUUCAUAAAGCGAAAAUGAUCGACUUGUUCAUUCCAGAAAACUUUUCUGAAAAGAAUCCUUUAAACAUAUUGUUCUUUGUUUCUUUCCAUAUUCAUGUCAUUGCCAUGAAUGUAAAGAGUGGCAAGAAAGAGCAAUAAAAGCACUCAGCCUUUGUUAGAGACCCAGAAAGAGAGAGAUGUGAGGGCUGGAACUGAAUGAUGGAGGGUUGCUACUGUUCAGUGAGCUUGUUAGUGAAGGGAUUCUGGAACAGUCACGCAUGAAGGAGCUACAUGUACCUCCGGCCGGCUCUCUAUAAAGCAGAAUCCUUCAGACGUAGACGGUUCUUUGAGCGGUAAUCCAGUUCACAUUGUUUGUCUUCUCUGAAAGAGCGGGAUGAAAGAGAGACAAACUCUUGCAACAGUUUGUAUGCAGAGUGCUGGUGUCUUUAGGAAGCUCAGGAUAGUGAGGAUGUUUCAGACGUCAGAGCUACAGCAAACACCUGCCAUCUAUUGGACCAUGUGUUCUUCAUCAGCAGCUUUGACGCUUAUCUUUUUAAGUUCAGCCUUGAGCCUGUGUGUUUCCAGCAAACACGACUGCAGUGCAUUCUUCCAUCCUCCUUCUGCUGCUCCUCUGCGUUGUCGCAAAACAUCUAGAGAGAUUAUGUAAAGUCUCUCUCAGGUCACCAGGGUACAGGUUGCUACUCACAUGAAAGCUGUUGGGUUGAAUAUGUCUGUGGAUGGGAAUUAACAAAAAAAAUAGUUACCAUGCCAUGAAAGCAUUUUUUUUUUCACAGACCCAAGGCCACAUGCGUCAUUGGGGUGAUUGUUAAGAUAAGCUGUUUGGAUCUCUGCAGAUCACAUUGAGACACGAAAGAAUGUUCUGUUAUGAAAGAAAGUAUGAGGUCUUUGGGACAAAACAUUCUUAAUCAGCCCUUAGAUUUGUUUUUGAAAUAUUACAAAGGUUAACGUUUCACCUCUCACUAUCAAAUCAAAAUGAUUUUACAUAUUUGCAAAAAAAAAAAAAAAAAUUUAACUUCCAAAAUGUGGGUAAAACUUUUUACCCACAUAGAAAAAAGCUUAACUGCAAAUGAAGAGACUUUUAAUUCAUUCUUAGAGUAAUAGUUCACCCAGGCCAUCCAAGUUAGUUUCUUCAUUGGACAAGAUUUAGCAUUAUAUCACUUGCUCACCAGUGGAUCCUCUGCAGUGAAUGAGAGAGUUCAAACAGCUGAUAAAAACAUCAAAAUAAUACACAAGUAAUCCACAAGACUUCUGUCCAUCAAUUAAUGUCUUGUAUAGAGGAAAACGAAGUGUGUUUAAAGUAAAACAAAUCCGUUAUUAAGAUGUUUUAACUUUAAACCAUUGCUUCUGGCCAAAACGUGACUCCGUAAUCCAUAAAAACACUUUCUUCAGUUGAAAAAUCCACUCCCUGUUGUCCUCUCACAUCAAAACCCACCAAUGUAUUUGUUUAGAACUAUUAUGGAACGUUUUGCGCUUGCAAAAACAUG